AAUGAACGCUGGCGGCGUGCCUAACACAUGCAAGUCGUACGAGAAAUCCCGAGCUUGCUUGGGAGAGUAAAGUGGCGCACGGGUGAGUAACGCGUGGGUAACCCACCUUCGAAUCUGGGAUAACUCCGCGAAAGCGGUGCUAAUACCGGAUAAGACCACAGCCGUUUCGGCGGCAGAGGUAAAAGCUGACCUCUCCAUGGAAGUUAGCGUUCGAGGACGGGCCCGCGUCCUAUCAGCUUGUUGGUGGGGUAAUGGCCUACCAAGGCAGCGACGGGUAGCUGGUCUGAGAGGAUGAUCAGCCACACUGGAACUGGAACACGGUCCAGACUCCUACGGGAGGCGGCAGUGAGGAAUUUUGCGCAAUGGGGGAAACCCUGACGCAGCAACGCCGCGUGGGUGAAGAAGGCUUUCGGGUCGUAAAGCCCUGUCAGGUGGGAAGAACCGUUUCGAUACUAAUAAUGCCGAAGCCUGACGGUACCACCAGAGGAAGCACCGGCCAACUCCGUG
rnacentral:rRNA from 1 species